rnacentral:rRNA from 1 species
CAAAGCACUUGGAAGAGAGAGUUAAAGAGGACGUGAAACCGGUGAGGUGGAAACGGACAGAGCCGGCGUAUCUGGCCUGUAUUCAACCGCGUGCUCGCUGUCGUCUCGUGUGCAUGUCUCCAGAUUGGGACUGUGUGCRGUCUGACGACGAGUGUGUGGUGCAUUUGCAGGUGGAGUGCGCUGAGGCGUUCGGUGCAGCGGCAUGAACUCGGCUCAGAGGCCAGCCUAGCAAUGGGUCUGGAACCCGGGCUGUGGGGAGUGUUGUUUGUGCUGGAUGUGCGGUGAGCAAUGGUCACGGGCCCGUGUGGGUGCCGAGCUGGCAGUGGGUGGCGGUCGCUUGCGACACGUGCCGGCAGUCAGUUCGGUCCUGCUCGAGCUCUCACAUGCUCGUCCUCGGUGUAAAAGCCGGUCAUCUGUCCGACCCGUCUUGAAACACGGACCAAGGAGUUUAGCGUGUGCGCGAGUCAUUGGGCGUUGAAAACCCAAAGGCGCAAUGAAAGUGAAGGCAUCCCUUGCGGAGCUGAUGUGUGAUCCUGGCCACCACGGUGUGCCGGGCGCAACAUGGUCCCGUCCUGAUCGCUUGCGAUGUGGCGGC